UACGUAGGGUGCGAGCGUUAAUCGGAAUUACUGGGCGUAAAGCGUGCGCAGGCGGUUAUUUGAGUCAGGUGUGAAAGCCCUGGGCUUAACCUAGGAAUUGCGCUUGAGACUGGAUAGCUUGGAGUGCGGCAGAGGGAGGUGGAAUUCCACGUGUAGCAGUGAAAUGCGUAGAGAUGUGGAGGAACACCGAUGGCGAAGGCAGCCUCCUGGGCCAGCACUGACGCUCAUGCACGAAAGCGUGGGGAGCAAACAGG
rnacentral:rRNA from 1 species